rnacentral:lncRNA from 1 species
CUCUGCUCUGGAGCCACCAUGUGAUCCCAGCAAGAGAAGAUGCCAGCAGCCGCAGGCAUCCUCUAAGAUAAGUCUUUUAAAAUAUAUAGAUUACGGUUACCAUUGAUAAUUAAGACUGAGCUAGCAAUUUGUACCUAAUAUAAGUCUCUGUGUGUUACUUGGGACCUUAACAUGGCAUCGGGUGGAACUCGGGCGGACUGGCAGAAAGCGCCUACAUGGAAGCAGGGCUUGGGCAGCUUGUAGUAAAGACUUAUUGUUACAAGUUCUACAUCUGGAUCUGCAGGCAGCAGGAAGAGAGACACUCGGCCUGGCUUAAGCUUCGGAAACCUCAAAGUUCACCUCCCCCCCAGUGACACACUUCUGCAAACAAGGUCACAUCUAUUCAAACAAGGCCACACCUCCUAAUGAUAUCACUGCUAUGAGCCUAUGGGGGGCAUUUUUAUUCAAACUACUAUGCCCUAUAAUUGUUUUUACGUAGAGAAAUGUGUUCUAUUUAUAAGAAACACAUUUGAGAUAAAGCAGGGUAAGAUGGUAAAAGUGAAGGCAAAUACCAACCCCAGGCUGUGAUGGAAUCUUUUUUUUUUUUUUUCUUUUCUGUCCAUUGAUGGAUGAAGUUAGACUUUUCCAGCCUGCAUUGUUCAGGAAUGGAUGAAAUUGAGUUACAUCCUAAACUGACAUGCAGAGCUAAUGUUGUCAUUGUCAUCUGCCUUGCAGAGAAAAUGUUUGUUGUAUAAUUGAGAUUGUCUUCAUACAAGCAUGCUCAGCCGUGUGUAAACAGUAUCUGAACCUUGGACUGUCAUUCAUCUCCAGUGAAUUAUAUGCAUCACAACUGGGACAUGGCACUGAGUUAAUCUAAACUUGUAUUCUGUGUGCGCCAUAAAGUAGGGCUCUGAAAUGGUAUUAUGAUGCACUAUUGAAAGCAAGAGAAGCUGUUCAUACAGCCGAGAUCGGAAGCUUACCAGCUCUGCUGCAGUCUCAGACAAUGAAAUGACAGCAGAUGCAUGCUGGCAAACACAGCAGAAAAGGACACCAGGUUUUGAAGCCAGUAGAGACUAAUCAGCUUUGUAUGUGGCUGUCACACAGCCAAAUGCUAAAUUCAAACAAGACUCAGAAGUGAGUACAAGAUUACCAUGGCCUACACAAGCUGAUAAAAAAUUAUACUGUGCCCUCAGAGACUCUGGAGCAGCCUGGACCUUUAGGUAAAAACACACUGUGGUCCUCACAGACUAUAGGACUAUGUGGAAACUUUGUUUGGAAGACUCUUUGAAUGAACAAUAACAAGGCUUCUAAGCCCCCCGCCUUUAAAAAUAAUCAAGCCACAAAAUUUUUAUUUUUUAUUUUUGGCCAUAAAUAAAGUGCUACAGAAAUAGAUAUUUGUUUGGUAAAUAAUUGAUUUUCAUAUAUCUGAAUACCACUGAGGUAAUAGGACAAGCUUGUAAGGUUAAUACCAUACCAUUUCUCCUAGUAUCUUUAUAGACUGGGCUUUACAAUUGAGAAGGUGCCUGAACCCCUCAAUGCCUGGCAAUGUAUCACAAAUAAACAAAUGACCCAGAGACUGACAUUGGGAUUCAAACUUCAAGCUGACGAUCAGAAAAGCAAAGCAACUGGUCGCUAGCUCUUACUCUACCUCAGACUGAAAGGUGAUCCUGGCUCCACCAAACCUCAGACUAUAACCUCUCCUCAGCAUGGCUGGAGAAUCCUGAGACUGAAUGUCUUCCUAUCCUCAAUGGGACUGGAGAAUCACUGAUACUGACCACUGAAGACCCUGUUCCUAUCUUUUAUACCCCUCUAGUGCUGUUAUUAAAGGCAAAUGAUCCCAGG